rnacentral:rRNA from 1 species
AUUGAACGCUGGCGGCAGGCCUAACACAUGCAAGUCGAGCGGAGCGGCGGAAGGGUGAGUAAUGCAUAGGAAUCUGCCUGCUAGUGGGGGAUAAAGUCCGAAAAGGGGCGCUAAUACCGCAUACUAUCAGAUGAGCCUAGGUCGAGUUAGCUUGUUGGUGGGGUAAAGGCCUACCAAGGCGACGAUCCGUACCUGGUCUGAGAGGAUGAUCAGUCAAACUGGAACUGAGACACGGUCCAGACUCCUACGGGAGGCAGCAGUGGGGAAUAUUGGACAAUGGGCGAAAGCCUGAUCCAGCCAUGCCGCGUUUGUGAAGAAGGUCUUCGGAUUGUAAAGCACUUUAAGUUGGGAGGCGUUACCAACAGAAUAAGCACCGGCUAACUGCGUGCCAGCAGCCGCGGUAAUAC